UACGUAUGGUGCAAGCGUUAUCCGGAUUUACUGGGUGUAAAGGGAGCGCAGGCGGCGCGUUAAGCCUGGUGUGAAAGCCCGCGGCCCAACCGCGGGACUGCAUUGGGAACUGGCGCGCUGGAGUGCCGGAGGGGUAGGCGGAAUUCCUAGUGUAGCGGUGAAAUGCGUAGAUAUUAGGAGGAACACCAGUGGCGAAGGCGGCCUACUGGACGGUGACUGACGCUGAGGCUCGAAAGCGUGGGGAGCAAAUAGG
rnacentral:rRNA from 1 species